GAGAUAUAGAGGGAGGAGGGUAGGCAAAAGAAGAUAAAAUACCUGAUCUAUUAGUUAUCUAGUAUCCAUCAAAUAUACCCCCUCCAAUAUUAUCUGUUACAAGAUCUCUGACAGAAAGUGGGACUUAAGGUGAAACUUGAAGGAAGCUAGGGAAGGCUGGUUAGGAGGUAGAGGUCAUGUGAGGAGAGUCCCAGGCAUGGGGCACAGCCAGCAAAAAUUUGAAGUAUUUUGGGUAUGGAAUGUCUUGUUAAAAACAGCAAAGAGGCCAAUGUCACUGGUUUGGUAAGUAGAGGGGAGUAAGGCAAAAGGAGGCUGGAAACGGGAAGAGAUCAGGUUAAAAAUGACUUGCUUUGAAAGCCAAACAAGAUUUUUAUAUUUGAUACCAGAGGUAAUACUGAGUAAAUUGGUGACAUCGUUAGAUUUGCUCUUCAGAAAGAUCAAUUUGACCCAUCAGCAAAGGAUGGGCUAAAGUGGGGAAAGAAGAAUGGGAGGUUAACCAGAAAGUUAUUUCAAUAGUCCAGGCAUGAGGUGAUAAGAGUCUAGACUAGAGUGGUGGGAGUAUGAAAGGAGAGGAGGUGUAUUAGAGAUAUUGCAAAGAUAAAAUCAACAGGACUUGGCAACAGAUUUAAAAUAGAGAGGGUGGGAAAGAUUGAGGGGCCAAGGAUAACACAUAGGUUAUGAGCCUGGGUGGCUGGAAAAAGGGUAUUACUCUUGGACAAUAAUGGGGAAGUUAAAAUAAGGGAGAAUUGGUGGGAAUGGGAAGGUAGGGAAAGAAUGAGUUUAGUUUGGGACAUUGAAUUCAUGAUAGCUAUAACUCGGCUACUGUAUAUACCAUGCUGUGUACUUAAGCUAAUAGCAUUACUUCUUAUUUAACAUGUUUUCAGAGGGUUUUCUUCAUAACUACUCCAAGGUAGCUGAUGAAGUUCCAUUUCCCCAUUUUAUAGAUAAAGAAAUUGAGGUAUAGAGAAGUUAAGGGAUUUGAAUAGAGUUGACCCAGGCAAAAAGUGUCAGCAGAUCCAGGAAUUCCAACUCAGUCCUGUGACCAUGAUGCCUCUCUACAUGACUAUGAACUUCCUAGCUUUUUUAGAUUUAGUACUGUUAAGAGCUACAGAAUACUUUUCUCUCUAUAUAUAUACUCAUAGUACUUUUAAUGCUAGUAGUUCUUAGGAGAAGAAAACCUUGGUAACCACUUUGAUUAUCCUGUAUGUUUAAUACCGUGGUCAUUGUGAGGCAGUUAGAUGGCACAGUGGAUAGAACACUGGACUUAGAUUGAAGACUUGAGUUCAAAUCCAGUCUCAGACUCCUUAACUAUGUGACUCUGAGAAAGAGCUUAACCUGUUAUAGUUUCCCCAACUGUGUAAUUGUUGUAGAUAUCAUUUUCAAAGCCACAAAGAGAAGAGAGAAGAUGAUAGCAGGUAUAGAAGUUGAAUAUGAAAGAGAUACAAACAUGUUACAGACAGUAGGGAAGGAGCCAGAAAAUAGAGAUUAGAAAUCAAUGAUAGAAUGGAGAUAACCAAGGGGCGCAGUCUAUUGGAGAAGAUUGCAUAACAAGUAAAGACAUGAGCUUUGGACCAGUAUAACAGAAAUGGAAUGCCUGAAAUCAAAAGGAAAGUUGGUUCUCUUCAAUCUGGAGACUUUCUAUGUCAUCUUCAGAGAUCCAGUUGGCAGCAGGGUGUGAAAGGUGACUUGCUGGCAAAGAUACCCAGGUCCUCCAACAACCUUGCCUUACGGGACAAACUCAAUAGGAAGUGGAAAGCAUGCAGUCAGAGGCAUUAGAUACAUUCAGUUUUCCACUCACAAAAAUCUGUGGGUGCCUGCCUCUAAGACUAGAUUAGUAUCUUCAAAAUAGUUAAAUAGAAAUUCAGUCUCUUGACUGCCUAUCUUUUUAUAGCCUUGUUUUAUUUUCCACAUUUAAAACUUCCAUGAUAUAUAUUAUUUACUUGUACUAUUCUUUCCCUUGUGUUAUUCUGAUAUUUAAAUAAGAAGGCAUCAAAUUGUAAGGACUCCAUAGAGAUGGUGUUAAUUUAUUGUUUACAUCACACUUGAAUAUAGGUUGCUAAAAGUUUGGGGGGAUCAUUUUUCAGUCUAACUAUAAUUCUACACAUCUUUACAUGUGUUUUCUACAGAAAACACUUUUAGUGCUUUUACCUUUAGCUACAUUCAUACUCAUAGAAAUUAUUUCCCAUCAAAAAUGUCAUUUUUUAAUACAGAUUAGGCUAGGCAAUGUAAAGAAUUUUAUAAAAACCUUUGAUCAGAAGAAAUGAGAACAUGGUACAUUUAAACCAGUAGUCUGUGUUUUAUUGCACAAAAAAAUGUUUCAUGGGGGAGGCUCCUAAAACAUGGUUGUCUCCUAAAACAACCACAAAAUGUUAAGAAUGUUCUCCAAACUUUCCUAAUUUCCUUGAAAAAUAUUGCUACUUUUGCUUUUAUAUUAUCAUCUUUUCUGAAUAUAUUCCUUCCUUAUCCACCAACCCAUUUCUUUUAAUAAAGAAUUAAAAAAAAUUUUUUUAAAGAAAGAAAAGAAAGUGGGGUGACUUUCAGCAAGACUAACCAACACCAACUGAGUCUGACAUAUUAUGCCAUGUUGUACACCUAUAUACUGCUGCUACCUGUGCAAAGAAGGAAAGGGAGACAUUUUCUCUUCUUGGGGACUGGCUCAGUCAUUAUAAUUAUAUUGCAUUCAGUUUGGGUUGUUUCCAUUCACUGUUAUCAUGUACAGUUUAUUAUUUUUCUUAAGAUUACUUCACUUCAUUACUUCAUACAAGUUUUCCUCAGCUCAGGAGAAAUUCUUCAACAUUUUUUUUAUGACAAAAGUAACAUUACAUUAUAUUCAUGUACCAUGAUUUGUUUAGCAAGUUUCCCAAUCUUUAAGUAUCUGCCUUUGUUUACAGUUCCUUGCUACCACAAAAAAAAAAAGGCAGAUGAGUGGCUACUAUGAAUAAUUUGGUGUAUAUGGAACUGUUCUGUCUUUGACUGUUGGGGUAUAUGCUUAGAAGUGAGAUUUCUGGGCAUCUUUGUUUUCCUUCCUUCCUUCCUUCCUUCCUUCCUUCCUUCCUUCCUUCCUUCCUUCCUUCCUUCCUUCCUUCCUUCCUUCCUUCCUUCCUUCCUUCCUUCCUUCCUUCCUUCCUUCCUUCCUUCCUUCUUUUUUGUUUCACUAUAAUUACAAAUUGUUUUCCAGAGUGUUUGCACCAAUUCCUAGUUUCAUAUAUUAGUGUGUCUGUCUUCCUGUAGUUCUUACAAAACUAUUCCCAUAUUUUUAAAUUUUUUUCCAGUUUUGCUGGGUGUUCAAGUAAAAUCUCAAAGUUGUUUUUAUUCUCAUCUGAAUUUAUUUUAAUAAACUAGCAGCUGUAUGCAAUAGUGCUUAAAGUGCUGAUUUUGAGUCAGGAAAAACCGGGUUCAAAUCUCAGAUACUUACUAACUUUGAGAUUCUAGGUGACCACCUCUCUGGGCCUUGGUUUUCUUAUUAUAAAAUGUGGGCAUUGGACUACAGUCGCCUCUAGUUCCCUCACAGCUCUAAAUCAGGAAUCCUAUCACAGAUCUUUUAUUUAGGACUUUGUCAAAACAUCUUUAAAUUUACAUAUUAUAUUUGUUCAAUGUUAAAUAAGCUGUGAACUAUUGUGUAGAAAUAUUAUCUUCUAUUUGCUGUAAAACCUCACCUUUCUGAUGCCAAGAUUUUCCCUGAUUUUAGUUUUAUAGAGAUUGACAAACAAUCUAUACAUAUCUCUCAUGAUUUUAGAGACAUUAAGCAUAUCUUCUUCCUUGGAUCAUAUUUGCAGACUGUAUCUUUUACAUAGUUAUAGAUAUAAUUUUUGAGCACCAUAUUUGUGAAGGUUCAUAAAACAUAAAACAUCAGUCAGUCAUGUUCUUCUUAUCCAUUGCUCUUCACAUUUAAGUUUUUAAAAAUAAUCUGAGUGCUAAGAGCAGUUCUUGGUGUAGACAGAGGUCGGCAUGACACACUGACAUUGGCAUAAUAGAUAUUCAUUUAUUACUCUUUUACUAUGUUAUCGAUGUUUCCUUUGUAAGAUGCAAGCACAAUAAGACAAAAGAUAGAUUCUUUUCCUUUUUC